rnacentral:lncRNA from 1 species
AAAUGCCCUGUACGACCUAAGGGCCUCCACAGCAGGAACAAAAGGAAUUUUGUCUGAGAUUUUAGCAGAAAAGUAAUUUUUGAAAUCUAUUCUUGGAUUUAGACGUUUAUUGGAUUUCAAAGCUUCUUGCUGCCCAGGAGCUUGUGAAUACGGUCAAAGGUCCAUGAAAUUUCCAAAGUGGUACCACAGCAGAUGAACCUGAAUGCAAACUGGAGGGACCAACAGAGUCCAGCCUAUAGACAUAAAUCCUUAACUACACCUAGAUCUCACUGUCUUUUCCAAUGGUCAAAAGAGGGGCUCUUGAAAUGGCUCCAUUGUUUUAUAGAAACAAGGUCUUCCUAAGAAGUCUUUUUCUCCUAUCUUUUUCUUACCCAAAAUAAAGGAAUGGCCCAAAACCUCAAGCCAAGCUUACCAGCUAUAAACAACUUGGUGGUCAGCAGCCAAAAGAAGAGUGGACAUGCCAUGGUCAUGUGGCACGUACCCUAUACAAGCUUCACAGAGAAGAAUGGAAGCACUUGAUUGUAAGACAGAGGGUGAGAUGUGAGAGGAAUAUUAACCUUCACUUUCCACAGGCAUUUUUUUCUGCAAAUGGCACCAGCUUUUGGACUUAAAAUUUUAUUCCAAAUACUAUUUAGAUGCAUCAGGGCCCUCAAAAUAUGGAUUUCAAGUUGGAGACAUCAAAGUGCAUUAUUUACUAAAACCACUGCAGCUUUUUUCCCCUCUCCUUUCACAAGAUGCUAUUGUAAAUUCAGGCUGCUUUAAUCUCUGUGAUUAAAAAAAAAAAGGAAGAAAGAAAAAAAAAGUGCUGCUUGAAGAGGAACUGAACUCACAAUCUGGGAGCUAGAAAGUAAAUAUUACCCAGAGAGUACCUCACUUUAAUUACUGGCCUGAACAUUGGUUUCAAUUUACAUGUAUUUUAAUUAGCCACAGAAGGGUUCACCUAUUACUCUCUGAAUACAAAACUUAAAAAGCAAACAGAAAAUAGGGAAAGAAAGGCUUAUUUAAGGGCCUCCAAGGAUUAAUCUUUGCAUUCUUCUCAUUUUUUCCCCGAAUUUGGGGAUAAAAUUUGUCGCAGGGAAUUUGAUCUUAGGGAAACAUUGAGUUUGGUUUGUGAACACAAGCUACUUCUGAACACUAUUUUAGCAAACAGAAUUUUAGAAGCAUAAGGCUCUAGCAGAGGGCUAUACAGAAUUUUGCAUAAACUAAAUAACAACCGUUUCCUCCUGAAAUGCAGGAAAUCAAGCUGCACGGUCCUUAGGUCUUCAGCAAAGCUUGGACCACUUGGCAAAGUCUUCUGUCUCCAGAGGAAUGAUGGGAAAACUAUGGGACAAAAGUCAGGAGAGUGGUGCUGGCUGAUCCUGGCCUGGACAUUGACUCCCUGGGGACUUUGGUGCUCUCUCGUGCUCUCUCUGUCUCCAGUGAUAAGCUGACCAGAUGCCUUGAAUUAAGUACAGUAUGCAGCAAUGCCAGCCCUGGACUUUUCCCCAACCUAUCACCCAACCCACUUACCUGGAGCCAAGGGUCACCAACAUCUCUAAUAGAAUCCAACUGUGGAAUAGAAAAACUAUUUCGUCUAAGAAGUGGAUCCUAGCUGUCAAAUAAAAAAUCGCUGUUGAA